rnacentral:rRNA from 1 species
GGGAAAAAGGAGUAAUGCCAGGGAAAUUGCCCUGAUGUGGGGGAUAACCAUUGGAAACGAUGGCUAAUACCGCAUAAUAGCUUCGGCUCAAAGAGGGGGACCUUCGGGCCUCUCGCGUCAGGAUAUGCCCAGGUGGGAUUAGCUAGUUGGUGAGGUAAUGGCUCACCAAGGCGACGAUCCCUAGCUGGUCUGAGAGGAUGAUCAGCCACACUGGAACUGAGACACGGUCCAGACUCCUACGGGAGGCAGCAGUGGGGAAUAUUGCACAAUGGGCGCAAGCCUGAUGCAGCCAUGCCGCGUGUAUGAAGAAGGCCUUCGGGUUGUAAAGUACUUUCAGCAGUGAGGAAGGUGGUGUCGUUAAUAGCGUCAUCAUUUGACGUUAGCUGCAGAAGAAGCACCGGCUAACUCCGUGCCAGCAGCCGCGGUAAUACGGAGGGUGCGAGCGUUAAUCGGAAUUACUGGGCGUAAAGCGCAUGCAGGUGGUUUGUUAAGUCAGAUGUGAAAGCCCGGGGCUCAACCUCGGAACUGCAUUUGAAACUGGCUGACUAGAGUACUGUAGAGGGGGGUAGAAUUUCAGGUGUAGCGGUGAAAUGCGUAGAGAUCUGAAGGAAUACCGGUGGCGAAGGCGGCCCCCUGGACAGAUACUGACACUCAGAUGCGAAAGCGUGGGGAGCAAACAGGAUUAGAUACCCUGGUAGUCCACGCCGUAAACGAUGUCUACUUGGAGGUUGUGGCCUUGAGCCGUGGCUUUCGGAGCUAACGCGUUAAGUAGACCGCCUGGGGAGUACGGUCGCAAGAUUAAAACUCAAAUGAAUUGACGGGGGCCCGCACAAGCGGUGGAGCAUGUGGUUUAAUUCGAUGCAACGCGAAGAACCUUACCUACUCUUGACAUCCAGAGAACUUAGCAGAGAUGCUUUGGUGCCUUCGGGAACUCUGAGACAGGUGCUGCAUGGCUGUCGUCAGCUCGUGUUGUGAAAUGUUGGGUUAAGUCCCGCAACGAGCGCAACCCUUAUCCUUGUUUGCCAGCACUUCGGGUGGGAACUCCAGGGAGACUGCCGGUGAUAAAC